GAAGGGCGCCAGCUGACGUCAAUGGGAGAUAUAAAUACCACAAGUGGCGAGCAUUUCAACAGUUCAAAACCUCAGAACGAGUAGUUUGCAACCGGCCAGACUGCAUAGUACCUUCGCUGCCCUAGAGGCACAGAGAGACUCGAGUUUAGCCGGUGCUUUGAAAGUGUAACUUGUUGCUCAGCUUUAAAUAUUAUUUUUUUUUGUGAAGGGUUGGCAACCCCUUCUUUCAGUAUUCGCAACCACGGCUUUCAUGCAAAGUCUGGCCGGUUGGGACUCGCGUUGCGACUCGCCAUGUUUCCAAACAGGUCAGACUUACACUAAUUUGAUGGAAGUGGCCAAUUUCUACGAGUCGGACUGUUCCCUGAACAAGUUGCACCGCGACCGGUCAAUGACAGAUCUGGGCAUCGGAGACAACGAGAGUGCCAUCGACUUCAGCCCUUACAUCGACCCGGCCACAGCCUCAGCAGCAGGGGGCAACUUUGAGCUCCACGGGGACCUUUUGACGGAUAUUAUGCUGUCAGACGAGUACAAGAAGAAAUCGCUGCCCGACUACAACGCCUACUUGUCCCUGAUGCGCAACUCGUCGGGCGGCGCCCGGCACCAGGGCAGUAUCCUGAGCUGUACGCCUCAGUUCCUGGAGACGCGGCUGGAACCGGUGUUUGAGCAGAGUUUGGAAUCAAAAGGCGGCGUGAAGCAAGAAUCCAGGGACGACGAAGGGGCCAUGUCAGCCACGGCUGCCUCCUCGUCCUACGCGCGGUCGCUGCUGCAGUACCAGUGCGUGGCCAGCGGCAGUAACAGCAACUUGUCCACCUCGUCUCUGUCGUCCACGCCGCCGGCCACCCCCAACUCCGCAGAAUCCAACCGGGGCACGGGGGCAACGGCGUCGGGAGCCAGCGGCGGCAAGACUAAGAGCAAGAAGACGGUGGACAAGCACAGCGACGAGUACCGGCUGCGCCGGGAGAGGAACAACAUCGCGGUGAGGAAAAGCAGGGACAAGGCCAAGAUGCGGAACGUGGAGACGCAGCAUAAAGUGCUGGAGCUCAGCGCCGAGAACGAGCGGCUGCAGAAGAGAGUGGAACAGCUGAGCCGGGAGCUGACCACCCUGAGGAACUUGUUUAAACAGCUCCCGGAGCACACCCUGCUCAGUGCGUCGGGCAACUGCUGACAGCCGGUCAUAGGGGCUCGUUAUUAAAGGACAUCAAGCGGCCUUUGUGACUUUUGCAAAGGAGUUAAUUAAGGACUCUUUGUAUAUAAAGAACUUUAUUAGUGUUUACAGUUCAUUUCCGUAACCCGAGGUAGUAGAUCGUUUAAAUGACCUCGACUCUGCGUUUGGAACUGCAGGGGGAGGGAUAAAUGACCUUAAUUAAAAGAAGCAGUUGGCUUACAUCUAUAUAUGUAUAUACAUCUUAAUGUACGUAAAGUGAUGCCAGGCUUAUCUGUGCCUGCUCAAUCGAAACACAUGAUGCAACGCCGUAUAACUUGCCAAGUAUGAGAUUCAUUUGUAAUGGUCAGAUGUCAGGUUUGUUAUUACAGAUGUCUGGGGUUUUCUCCCCCAACACUAUGAAAUAGUUUUAUUUCUUUAUCAGAUUACAUUUGUAUGCAGAGAUUGAAUUUUCUGCUCCCGUUAAGACGCGAGAGCGCAUUACUGUUGAUCUUUGAGAUUAGCUUUUUUUUAAAAAAAGAGUAUUAUUUUGACAGGAUAUGCCUGAACUGCCGUUUUGUAACCCUGUCGGUAGCUCCUCCCCUUCUUCUCAGGGACGGGUGAGAUCGUUGCUGCUGGCCGGACUUUAUCUCUUUUGCAUUUUAUACUAGCUCCUCUUCCCUUUUUAUUAAAAAAAGAAGCUAUAUAUUUCAGACGUGAUUUGUUGUGGAGAGGAAAUGUUUUCAACAGUUUAAAAAAUAUUGUCCAACGCCGAACUGUUUCCAUUUGAAUUGCGUCACUCCAGCAGUGACUCAGCAUUUUCAGAUAUUCCCGCACUUGGGUCCCAACCUUCCCUGCUGAGUGUGGAACUGACCCUUCCAGCUGCUGCCCAGUGACGACCUCUGAUCUCAUCCCAGCCUAAUCACAGAUCAACUUACAACGACAAAUUAACCUACCAACGGUACGUCGUUGAACUGUGGGAGGAAACUGGAGCACCUGGAGGAAACCCACUCAGUCAUGGGGAGAACAUACAAACUCCUUACAGGCAGGAUAUCCAUUUAUGUAAAUACGUAAAACCUCUUUUUGGGUAACAUAUCAUGACUAAAGAUUCCUCUUGAGAUUGUAGCAGUCUGCUUCUUCCUUAGGCAGUCAGUUGCAGUCAAGAACAGUUUGCUUUCACUCAAUCUCUGAGAAGUAGAAGAAAAAGUCUUUCUGAAUUAUUUUAACAUAGUGUGUCUGGGGACACCAGCCAUCACACAGGUAGGACAAAGUGAGAUUUUGGUUGACUAUCAAGAGGUUUAAAGGACAAUUAGAAACCAUUUUCAGUUACAGAAACAUACCACACACACACACACACACACACACACACACACACACACACACACACAACACAGUUAUGCAUGUGGUGAGACACAUUGCAAGUGCACACAGGUAUGCUAUGACCAUGCACACUAUUCAUGAGCACACCUGCAUGUAUUAGGGAUGCAGUCAGUCUACAUGUGCACAUGUAACCAUGACAACAAGCACAUAAACAUAGAUGUACAUGUUGACACACACACAUACAUAGAUGCUCACAAAUGUAACAUUGGCAACACUCAGACAUAGUCUCACAAAAUGGAAAUGCAUGUGCAACAUGUACUGUAUAUAAAUAUAUAGAUAAGUUUUGUUUAAUUAAGUGCAAUCGUGAACAAUAGCAGAUCAGAAAUGCUGAUCAAGUCAACUAGUUCCCAAAGAGAACUCUGAUAGGCCAAUUACAUGGUUCACUGCUGCUCAGCGAUAGAAUCCAAAAAAAUCAUGUGUACAAUUAAGAAACAUUAUAAAUAAUAAAAAUACUGGAGUCAUGAUGAUCAUGAUGAAAUCUGCUGGGGAGAGACAUUUAUACACAUGCUGUCCUCCAUAAUUCAAAGAGAUUGAAGGAUUAGGUUGCAGGGUGACAAAACAGGGCAGGAGCACUUGGAACUGAAAGCUAAUCCCUACCGGGAGAAAACAGCACCUGUUCUUUCCGCACUAAGUCCAGCCGGAACAUAACUCCCAAGUGCUCUUGAAAGUCAGGUAUAAAUCCUACCUACCAACAACCAAGUAUUGCCGUCCUGGUCCCCUUCAUAGCUUAUGAAGAGGCACGUGACUUCCCUCCCAGAGAUGAUAGGUGUUUGUGCACUCGACUCUUGAAGGCUCGGAUCCCAUCGUCGCAGAUGUUUCCAAAUUCUGAUAGCUGUUCCAAAUUCUGAUAGCCCAGUGAAGGAAGCUUCUAUCCAGUGUGUAGGUACACACAAAGACAUAGAAACAUAGAUGCAAAUACACACACACAGAUGCACUCAUAGAAAUUUACUGAAUAGUUUCAAACAUACCUUGAGGCUGAAUCUGUUAACCUGAUGGCCAGCUCAACUAAUGCACUUCAUAAUGGCAUCUCUUAUUUCUCAAGAUUAAUUUGCAAAGUCCAUUGCUUCCUUAUGUGAAUUACACUAUAUGGUAGAGUAUAUAUUUUCUGUACAACUGAAUUUCUUCACUUAAUUCCAUUCUUGACCCACUCAAACUUUAAUUGUGGAUUGAUAUAUCUAAUUUAAACUAUUUUUGACAUUUAUUUAAAUCUUUUUUAUGCAUUUGUAUGAGUCUGUAAAGAGGAAGUUCUUAAAAGUAACAAAAUUCCUUAAGCACCCAGGGCAUGCCCUUUUUCCACUGUUACCAUCAGGAAGGAGAUACAGAACAUUCAGGAACAGCAUCUUCCCCUUUGCCAUCCGAUUCCUAAAUGGAUGUUGAAGCUUUGGACACUACCUCACUUUUUGUAAUAUAUAGUAUUUCUGUUUUCGCACAUUAAAAAAAUCUAUUCAAUAUUUAUAAUUGAUUCACACAUGGUAAUUGUUUAUUUAAUAUUACAUGUUAUUUUAUUUAUUAUUAUUAUUUUUUCUCUGUUAGAUUAUGUAUUGUAUUGAACUGCUGCUGCUAAGUUAGCAA